rnacentral:rRNA from 1 species
GGCCUUUUGUUAAUGAUUUAAGGUCUGACCUGCCCAAUGAUGAUAGUUUAAUGGCCGCAGUAUUUUGACUGUGCAAAGGUAGCAUAAUCAUUAGUUUUUUAAUUGGAAGCUGGAAUGAAUGGUUUGAUGAAAAAGUAGCUGUCUCAUUUUAAAUGUUUUAGAAUUUUAAUUUUAAGUGAAAAAGCUUAAAUUAUUUAAAAAGACGAGAAGACCCUAUAGAGUUUAAUAUUUUAAUAUAAUAUUUUAAAUUGGAUUUAAAUUAAAAUAUUAUAUUAAAAUAUUUUGUUGGGGUGAUGUAAAAAUUUAAUUAACUUUUUAUUAUUUUAACAUAAAUUAAUGAAUAAUUGAUCCUAAUUUUUAGAUUAAAAGAAUAAAUUACCUUAGGGAUAACAGCGUAAUUUUUUUAGAGAGUUCUUAUUGAUAAAAAAGUUUGCGA